GCUGAUAGUAGCACCGUUGACUUGGAGGGAGACAGACACAGGAGUAACAACACUUGAGAGAGGAAAGACCAGAAUUUCAGUUUUGGUCAAGUUUAAUUUAAGGAAGUGGGCAGCCAUCCAGUUAGAAACAGCAGAGAAGCAGUCAGAUACACUAGUCAAGAGGGAUGGGGAGAGAUCAGGAGAGGACAGGUAGAUUUGUGUUUCAUCUGCAUAGAAAUAAUAUUGGAAGCCAAAGGAGCUAAUGAGUUUACCAAGGGAGGCAGUAUAGAUGGAGAACAAUAG